rnacentral:rRNA from 1 species
UACAGAGGGGGCAAGCGUUGUUCGGAGUUACUGGGCGUAAAGGGCGCGUAGGCGGCCUGCUAAGUCGAACGUGAAAUCCCUGGGCUCAACCCAGGAACUGCGUCCGAUACUGGUUGGCUUGAAUCCGGGAGAGGGAUGUGGAAUUCCAGGUGUAGCGGUGAAAUGCGUAGAUAUCUGGAGGAACACCGGUGGCGAAGGCGACAUCCUGGACCGGUAUUGACGCUGAGGCGCGAAAGCCAGGGGAGCAAACGGG